CCUACGGGAGGCAGCAGUGAGGAAUAUUGGUCAAUGGCCGUAAGGCUGAACCAGCCAAGUAGCGUGAGGGAAGACUGCCCUAUGGGUUGUAAACCUCUUUUAUGCGGGGAUAAAGGUGUCCACGUGUGGAUGUUUGCAGGUACCGCAUGAAUAAGGACCGGCUAAUUCCGUGCCAGCAGCCGCGGUAAUAAGGAAGGUCCGGGCGUUAUCCGGAUUUAUUGGGUUUAAGGGGAGCGUAGGCCGGUCUUUAAGCGUGCCGGGAAAUUUUGUGGCUCAACCAUGGGAGUGCGGCGCGAACUGGAGACCUUGAGUGCGCGGAAGGCAGGCGGAAUUCGUGGUGUAGCGGUGAAAUGCUUAGAUAUCACGAAGAACCCCGAUUGCGAAGGCAGCCUGCCGCAGCGUUACUGACGCUGAAGCUCGAAAGCGCGGGUAUCGAACAGGAUUAGAUACCCCAGUAGUC
rnacentral:rRNA from 1 species